rnacentral:rRNA from 1 species
GGGGAAAGAAGACCCUGUUGAGCUUGACUCUAGUCUGACGUUGUGAAAUGACUUGCUUGGUGCAGGCUAGGUGGGAGCUUCGGCGAAUAUGAGAAACCACCACUUGCAAGAUUGUUUUACUUAUUCCGUGAAGUAGAGCCCGGUCGGGGAGACUCGAUCGGUUCUGGAACGAACGGGGGCGCUUGCGCCCCCCGAUCUACGCGGAAGACAACGUCAGGUGGGGAGUUUGGCUGGGGCGGCACAUCUGUUAAACAAUAACACAGGUGUCCUAAGGUCAGCUCAAUGAGAACAGAAAUCUCAUGUGGAACAUAAGGGUAAAAGCUAACUUGAUUUUGAUUUUCAGUACGAAUACAAACUGUGAAAGCAUGGCCUAACGAUCCUUUAGUCUUUCGGAAUUUGAAGCUAGAGGUGUCAGAAAAGUUACCACAGGGAUA